AUGGAAACUGCUGCAAGUUCUCCCUGUGGGCACAUUCCCAGAUUUCCUUGUGAAUGAGCUUUUCUGCUGGAAUUGGACCUAAGUAUGCAGGGCCAGGAGGGCUGUUCCCUUGAACUGCUCCCACCCAGAAGCAAUACUUCUUUAUAGCUGUGGACUGAGGAGGACCCACACAACCUGCUCAGAUAUUGCUGCUUCCAGAAUAUAGCCACAUCCUGUGCAUCAGCAGGGCUAGCAGAAGUUUUUCUUUAGCCAUUUACUUUUUCUUUCCUUCUUUUCUUUGCAGAAAGAGGUAGCUUUGGAAGAAUCUCUCAAUUCCUCAUCCUGAAAGCUUCAGGAUAGCCAACAAGUCCGGGUACAAACUUGGUAUCUACUUUGCUCACACCAGUCCUCCUGAACAUCAGAGUAUCAAGAGCCAGAACUUUGUUUCCUGGCCAUCUCCAGCUGUUAUUGCACCUCCUGGCACAGGAAACAGGGCCAACUUCUCCCCUGGUCACCAGCACUGUUCAGCUAGUGUGCGUGCUGAGGAACCACAGAGCCCUGCAAUGGCCUUCAUGUGAAGUGGUUCAGACUAACAGGGUGCAUCGAGCUGGAAUUGAUGUUUGCAGCACGUUGACUUUUGUAGCAGGAAGAAAAUCAAUGGAAGGCUUCAAUUUCUCUCUUCAGACUGAAUCAGAUAAACAUUUUGAGCCAAAGCAACAGAAUUUGUCAUGGGCUGAGGAGAAACAGUCAAUCAAAAUUAUCCCAAACCCAUGUUUUGCAUUUCCAUCGCAGUGACACGGUCAGGCUUUGCUCAAUCCUGUUUCCUGUAACAAUGAGUCACAACACAAGUUUUCAUUUUCAGUUCCUUCUGUAUUUAAUGGAUGUGCAUAGGGUACUACAAGGCCUUUGGGGAUGUUGGCAGCUGGCUGCAUUCCUUCCCCUUUUCCCUGCAGGAUAACUUUUUUCCUACUUUUGGUGAUAUUCAUUCAUAAGACUUGCAUAACCGCAGGCUCUUGUCUGAGAUCUGUGAGAUUUGCUCUGGGUAGAACUUAGUUUUUGCAAUUACUAUUUUUUUUUCCCCUGCAUAAAUGCAUUUUAAUGGAAGUUUCCCAAGCUACUUUUACAUUGAGGUGUUUGCAGAAACACAGCUCAGUGUUGGGGAAAAGCUAUUCUGGUGUUUACUCAUUUCAGCCCUAUUUUGAUGUCUGAGCCAGGAAACAAAACCCUACAUCCUGAGAUCAAUGCCAGGUGAGCACCCAGCUCAGGAAAAGUGAUAGUGAAAAACCAGAAUCCACUGCCAUGAAUAGAAUGAGUUAAAAUCACUCCAAGCGAUGCCUGGCUUCUGUGAAGUCACUACCUGCUGGCAGGGACUCUGUAAGGAGAAAAACAUCUAAAUCCAUUGGAUAAAUUAUCUGUUGCAAAUUAUUUCUCCAGCUGCAAUUAGUAAUCUUCAUUUUACACAGUAGGCCUCUAAUGACCUGCUUGACAACUAUGAUGCCUGAUAGACAGUAGGGAUUUGCAUGAAAAUGAGUGUUGUUUCCUCCCUUUGAAGCCAUAAAACAGCAGCAGCAAGGAUGCUCUGCUUUCCUGUGCAGGAGUGGGAUAACCAUGCAGCGAGCUCUGGGUGAAAGGAGAUAAUUCAGCUGUAUGUGAGGAAACAGAGAAAGAAGGAAGCACUAGUCUGAACCAGAAAUAAUAGCACCCAGUGCACAAACAAGCCUAAUCAGAUCGGUUGCUAAGUGGAGUCAUGUGAAUAGCAGGUGAUGGAGUAGAAGCACAAGAUAGAGCUCAGUGA
rnacentral:lncRNA from 1 species